GCUAUAUCUAGCCCAAACCCAACCAAACAUAACCACAUAACAUUACCUAAAACAAAACAUUUACUACACCUGUAAAAGUAUAGGAGAUAGAAAUUUCACCUGGCGCUAUAGAGAAAGUACCGCAAGGGAACAAUGAAAGAAUUUAUUAAAGCAAAAAAAAGCAAAGCUUACCCCUUGUACCUUUUGCAUAAUGAACUAACUAGAACUACUUAGCAAAGAGAACUUAAGUUAAGACUCCCGAAACCAGACGAGCUAUUUAUGAGCAGCCCAACAGAGCAAACUCAUCUAUGUGGCAAAAUAGUGAGAAGACUUAUAAAUAGAGGUGACAAGCCUACCGAGCCUGGUGAUAGCUGGUUGUCCAGAAAAGAAUUUUAGUUCAAACUUAAGCCUACCUACCAAAAUCAUAAUUUAAUUGUAGACUUAAAGUAUAAUCUAAAAGGGGACAGCCCUUUAGAUACAGGAUACAACCUUAACUAGAGAGUAAGUAUACAAAAUUAACCAUAGUUGGCCUAAAAGCAGCCAUCAAUAAAGAAAGCGUUCAAGCUCAACAAUACAAACAACUUAAUACCAACAACAAUCACUAACUCCUAGAAUUAAAACUGGACUAUUCUAUAACUAUAUAGAAGAGAUACUGUUAGUAUGAGUAACAAGAAGUCGAUUCUCCCCGCACAAGUGUAUAUCAGAACGAAUAAUCACUGAUAGUUAACGCAUAAAAAGCAAAUCAAAUAACAAGCUUCUUAAAUUCCCAUCCGUUAACCCAACACAGGAGUGCCCCAAGGAAAGAUUAAAAGGAGUAAAAGGAACUCGGCAAACACAAACCCCGCCUGUUUACCAAAAACAUCACCUCUAGCAUACCCAGUAUUAGAGGCACUGCCUGCCCAGUGACAUAAGUUUAACGGCCGCGGUAUCCUGACCGUGCAAAGGUAGCAUAAUCACUUGUUCUCUAAAUAAGGACUUGUAUGAAUGGCCACACGAGGGUUUUACUGUCUCUUACUCCCAAUCAGUGAAAUUGACCUCCCCGUGAAGAGGCGGGGAUGCAUAAAUAAGACGAGAAGACCCUAUGGAGCUUCAAUUAAUUAAUCCAAAGGAACAACAUCAAACACCAAAAGGAAAUAAAAUAACCCUAUAAUGGAUUAACAAUUUAGGUUGGGGUGACCUCGGAGCAUAAAAAACCCUCCGAGCAUUACAAGCUUAGACCUACCAGUCAAAGCCACAUCAUCAAUUGAUCCAAACAAUGCUUGAUCAACGGAACAAGUUACCCUAGGGAUAACAGCGCAAUCCUAUUCUAGAGUCCCUAUCGACAAUAGGGUUUACGACCUCGAUGUUGGAUCAGGACAUCCCAAUGGUGCAGCAACUAUUAACGGUUCGUUUGUUCAACGAUUAAAGUCCUACGUGAUCUGAGUUCAGACCGGAGUAAUCCAGGUCGGUUUCUAUCUAUUACACGCCUCUCCCAGUACGAAAGGACAAGAGAGACAAGGCCUCCCUAAACCUAGGCGCCUUCUAGCUAAACAGAUGAUACAAUCUCAAUCUGAUAAGCAGUAAACAUUCACAGCCCUAGAUCAGGGCACA
rnacentral:rRNA from 1 species